GCACCUCCGUUUGCCAACCGUUCAUUCUUCUCUCCCAAUAGACGCAAUUUCCUUGUUUCAAUUUUCUUUUCUUCUUCCCUUAUAAAAAAUCUUCACCCUCCCUGAUUAUCCGUUCUCCUUUUUGUUUUCCUCCAUUACACUUGUACGGCUCCUCAAUUCACAGCAAGCACAAAGAAACAGAGACACACACAUGGCUGGGACCAGCUCCACCGCCGGCGAUGGCGGCCCGCCGGGAGAGAUCAUGCUGUUUGGAGUCAGAGUGGUGGGUGUUUUCUAGAGGGAGGGGGGGAGUCCUACCAAAAUCCUCCCCUGUCCACUCUCCCAGUACCAGCAUCCUUCCGAUCUCGUUCUCGUCGACAAUAACGCUACCGAUGACAAGAAGGAUAAGGAGGAAGUCCUCGUCACCGCCACCGCCACCGCUGCUGGUUAUGCUUCCGCCGAUGAUGCUGUUCAUCACUCCUCUGGCACUCGCUCCGAACGCAAGCGAGGUAUUCCUUCAUCCUCUCUAUUUCUCCUUGUACUGAUUCAACUUGGAGUAUAUAAUCGGUGGAUUGAUUCGUUGGAUAGCGGUUUCACAAAGUGUGAUUGAUUUGUUGUUGCUCACGGAAUUUGAUUUUUUUUUCAAUCGGGGAGAGCAG
rnacentral:lncRNA from 1 species